CCAGGGUGCCUGUAAAAAGGCUGAGAUUAGACCCGCUGACCUGAUACGGAUAAUUCCGGCGUAGGGAGUACAA
rnacentral:ncRNA from 1 species